rnacentral:lncRNA from 1 species
GACGAGUUGGAGAUAUAUGAGUAGUGCUGAGGCAAAUGAAAAGGAAUGGGCAUGAUGAAUGUUCCAAGAAGAGAAGACAUCGUGACUGAAAGGCCAGAAAUCACCGAAAAUGUGGUGUGUUUGAGAAGACAAUAGAACGUCCAUGUUAUGUGAUGCUAAAAUGGAAGCUUUGACUUUAAGCUGUGUCUGAACCAAGAUGGCUGGAUUUACAAGAGCCAAGAGGAUGUUUCACCGUCUGCCUAGAAGAAAAGUGGUUAUUCUGCCUUUUGCAGUUAUGAUAAGGAUAUUCCAACAAAUAUUUAUUUCAUGAGUAUGAAAAGUAGGCUGCCAGUAAAGUCGGGGUAAGUUCUUCUGUCUAACAAUAUUUUGAUAAGAAUGAAAUGUUUCAUACAGUAGAGGUAUUGUUGGAGUAGACUUUUUUUCAUUUUCUGGGAAGAAAAACUUUAAACAUUUUUGUGGAAUUAUUUAUAAGUUGUUAGAGAGGAACAAGUCAUUCUGGUUGGUUGGACGGUUUCAAUAGUCAGGAGUAAGUAUGGCUAGGUUGUUGUGCUCAAGAGAAUGACAUACUCAUCUUCAUAUUCCUAAUGCCUAUGGCUGUGCUGGAAAACAUGUUCUCAGAAUUCACUACUUCUCAUGAAAGCCGGUACUUGAACUGAAAACAAAACCAUCAAUGGUAAAGGAGAAAAAAAGUUUAUUGUAUAUCAAAGAAGAGGAGAUGAUUAAAGUUUUAUUUUAAGUAAACGCAUGUAAUGUUAUCUACCUUUGGUUUCCCC